rnacentral:lncRNA from 1 species
AAUAAUGAACUCAAAGAUAGGAUAUAUUUUGUAAGGGAAAAAAACAACUUCUAAGAACUAGAACUGAGAGUACAAGGUGAUUGGGAGAGAAAGAAGUUACAACUUCACAAUUCAUGAAUGAGUAACAAAGAUCCCUAUUACAAUUAUUUAUAGCUAGCUCAUUACAAUUAUACUAUGGGCUUCAUUACAAAAUGACAUCUACAUCCACCACCUAUGCAUGCUGGAAGCGUAGGAGGUGGGCACUUAAAUUUGGAACAUUCAGACUUAUAUCUGCAAAUUAAAUCCAUUUCAUCUUUUAUUUUUUUUGAUAAAAAAUCCAUUUCUUCUAAUCCUGUAAUAAAAUAAAAAUUAAAAACAAAUAUUAUUAAAAGUUGUGAAUUAUUUUGUUUGUAUAAGAUAAACAAUAAAGUUCAAAAGGAUUCAAAUAAUUGUUUACCAUAAUCUCCAACUACUGCAUGAAAUAAGGAAAUAAAGAAGAUCAUUAAAUAAACAAACUUAACAAUUUCUACCAUAUUUUUCUCUCCUAAUUAACCUUACAACAUAUACAAAUGUAUUGACCACUUUAUGUUGUAAAAGUAUUAUGUGUUGUUUAUUUUUUCAAUUUGUU